rnacentral:rRNA from 1 species
AUACGGAGGAUCCGAGCGUUAUCCGGAUUUAUUGGGUUUAAAGGGUGCGCAGGCGGCCAUUUAAGUCAGCGGUUAAAUCGUGGGGCUCAACCCCAUUCUGCCGUUGAUACUGGGUGGCUUGAUUGCGGUCGAGGUUGGCGGAAUUCGUUGUGUAGCGGUGAAAUGCAUAGAUAUGACGAAGAACACCGAUUGCGUAGGCAGCUGACCAGACCGCAAAUGACGCUCAUGCACGAAAGUGCGGGGAUCGAACAGGAUUAGAUACCCUGGUAGUCCGAACAGUAAACGAUGAAUACUUGUUUUCGGCGAUAUAAUGUCGGAGGCAAAGCGAAAGCGAUAAGUAUUCCACCUGGGGAGUACGCCGGCAACGGUGAAACUCAAAGGAAUUGACGGGG